UACGAAGGGUGCAAGCGUUACUCGGAAUUACUGGGCGUAAAGCGUGCGUAGGUGGUUUGUUAAGUCUGUUGUGAAGCCCCGGGCUCAACCUGGGAAUGGCAAUGGAUACUGGCAAGCUAGAGUGCGGUAGAGGGUAGUGGAAUUCCCGGUGUAGCGGUGAAAUGCGUAGAGAUCGGGAGGAACACCAGUGGCGAAGGCGGCUACCUGGACCAGCACUGACACUGAGGCACGAAAGCGUGGGGAGCGAACAGG
rnacentral:rRNA from 1 species